AGAGCCUGGAGAAAGUUCUUCUGGAAUUCAGUCAUAAGGAAUUAUUUGAUUUCUAUAACAAGCUAGAGACCAUACAAGCACAGCUGGAUUCCCUUACAUGAUGUUCUUGAAGACUGGUUUCUCUGUCACACUCCUGCCACCUCAUUAUUUUGCAUUGAAGAUAAACUGCCAGGUUGUGUUUUCUGAAGGAUUCACUAGCUUUCUUCUUGUAAAUUAUACAGCUUACUGCUUUGUAGACAAAUAACCGCCAAGGAAGAUCACUGUUCUGAGUGCUCAGGUUCCAAUAUGCAUUCUCUUGUUCUGAGAGCCAACAGCAAGUAAUGGUUAAGAACACUUCUGCGUUAAAGAAAAUAGCUGUGAAUAUCAUGUGGUUAUUACUGUCCUGUUUUUGUUUUAUUGCCUGACCCGUUUAUUUUUUACAUACUUGAUGAUACUUGUAGGUAUCAAAGAGGGUCCAUGGAUACAAAGUAUACUGUAUAUUUUAAAAUAGGGAACUUUAGUGAUUACAUUGAUAAAAAUAAGUAGCCACAUGCAAUUAAGUACAUUAUGAUUUUUUUUCUUUAAUACAGUGAGUAUAUUUUCUUGGGAAAUAAUACAGGGAGGACAUUUUAAAUAGAACUAGUACUAGCAUAUCAUUCAGUUCCAGUGUGAGCAUCUCUGUGCACUUUAGAUUUUUCUCUACAUUUAAUGAUUUAGUAACAGUUUGGGGGUUUGUGUGCUUUUCUUUGUACUGCAAAUUAAUAAUGAUUAAUUAUUAAUUUCAUAGCAUGGGAGACAGAUCCACAUAAUGAGUAAAAAAUAAUUGUAAUGAGUGCCAAACAAAUAUCCUUAAAAUUCUAAAACAUACUUUUUACAUUCUCUUUCUAUGAAUAUGUUAAUUAAUUUCACUCAAUAAGAUUUUUUGUCUCAGAAUUAUUUGAACUGAAGUGCACAGCAUUUUAUUCUGUGGAUGUAUAUAAAUAUGAGUAUGGUUGUCUGCAGAAAAUAAUAUCACUUGAAUUUUUAUGAAUGAAAUGUCUGUACUACAUUUUUUUUCUAGAGAGAAAGACAGACAUGGUGGGAGAGGACAGGAGAGAUAGGAGGGGAAGGGAGAGAGAAAAUGAGAGAGAGAGAAUAACAGAGAUACAAAUAUGACUUCACAUGAAAGAAUUGGAUUUCAGACAUACCCUAUAGUUAAAUGGAGUCACUGAAUUUAAGUCACAUUUCUUAUAUGAGGUUUCUGAGUAAUAGGAAUGUUAAAUGACUCCCAGAUAUAUGUUCAGUAUAUGGAAUGUAUGCACUUACUUAUUUUAUAUGUGCUUAUAUAUUGUUGUUUAGAAGGCUUAGGAAUUUGGAUUAUUUCAGAAAGUAAAUAUUACAGUGGCUGUCCAUAGUUGGUAGACUUGAAAAGUUUUUAAACUCAAACUUCCACUGAUAGGAUAUCUAGAAGACAUGUUUAGAAUGGGAUUUGUUUCUAUAUGUAGCUGUGUGGUCCGUCUUAAAUUUUUAUAUUCUGUUCUGCUGGUCCCCAGAGGUAACCACAUGACCACUAUAAACGUUUUGGUAAAUACUCUUUCAGCUGAUUUCUUAUAUACAAAUAAACAUGCCUCAUUUCAAGUUGAAUUUAUUAGGCCUUCCUGACAGAGACCAUAUGGAUAGACAGAAGUUUUCAUUGGUUUAAUGGCCAACUUAACUCCCAGUAUAGAUAUCUAAAUUAAAUGUGACACUUCCAAGCAAAAUUUCUUAUUAAGUAGCUUAAAAUAGUGAUAAAUUGUUUUCUCUCCAUCAGUAUAGUUCAGGAAAGUCUGACCAAAGGCAUUGCAGAAAGGACCAGUAAGCAGUAGGUUUAAUUCCAACUAAGAACAUAAUUAUUCUUGAAAUAUAGUUUUUUUCUUUUCUUUCUUUUCUUUUUUUUUUUUUUUCUUUUUUUUCUUUUUAGGGCCGCACCUACAGCCUGUGGAGAUUCCCAGGCUAGGAGGCCAGGGAUGGAACCCACAACCUCAGAUUUGUUUCUGCUGUGCCGUAGCAGGAACUCCCAUCCUGAAAUAUAUUUAUUGUAGAUAAUUUUAUUUCUUAAGGUAUCACCAUUGUUACAAUACACAAGUCAAAAAAAAGUAUCAUUCCCAAGGAUUAUUAAAUGUGUGUUACUUUUUCAGAGAAGUAAGAUGGGUGGGGCAAUAAGUGGGAACUGAAACCUAUUCUCUUAGUACAUUAACAUGUAUUGCAAGUUGCUUAUCAAAAGGAUUGAAUAAAAAUAAAUUACUUGCUAGAAAGGAGCAUUACAAAUAAUGUUUGCAAUUCUUCUGUUAGAAAAUAUGAUUGUUUUUAGUUAGGAAAUACCAAAAAAAAAAAAAAAAACCGUGAAGGAAUAACCUAAAAUUGUAGAAUCUCAUCAUCUAGAAAUGGCCAUUAAUGACAUUUUGGUAGAUUUUAUUGAAAGUUGUUUUUUGUUUUUUGUUUUUUCCAUUCAUAUGUCUUUCUCCUUUUUUUCCUUCUUACAUAACAAAUUGGAUUAAUGCAAUAAAUAUAGUUUCACACUUUGCUUUGCUUCUGUAACAUUGUAACAUAAGGAUUUUUCUUGCCCUUAUUGUGUAAAACAUAAUUUUAACGUAUAUUAAAUUGUCCUUCAUUUAAAUGAGCUACUACGCUUUAUUUAGUCAACCAAUCUAUUUUGGGGCAUUUAGAUUAUUUCCAAUUUUUUAACAUGCUAAAGAAUAUGCUGGGGAAUAUCAUUAUAAAUAAACCUAGACCGCAUGUCUUAUUUUAUUAAUAUAGAUUGCUAGAAUUGGGAUUAUUAUGCCAAAACUAUGAAGAUUUGCUUUCUAUUUUUAUUUCUAAUGUGAUUGUAUUAUAAAAAUAAAAUUGCCUAUUUAAAAAAAAACAGUUAAGAAGUCUCUUUUGCUAUCUCACUCCCCAGAAGCACCUCCCUAACUAGUCGGAAACAUUUGUUUUGUAUCUUUUCACAUGCUUCAUGUAAAUUAAAAUACCCUUGUCUGU
rnacentral:lncRNA from 1 species